rnacentral:tRNA from 1 species
GCAUCAGUGGUUUAGUGGUAAAAUCCAUCGUUGCCAUAUGCAGCUUUCGAUGGGCCCCGCGUUCGAUUCGCGGCUGAUGCA